UACGGGGGGGGCAAGCGUUGUUCGGAAUUACUGGGCGUAAAGGGCGCGUAGGCGGUUGGAUAAGUCAGCUGUGAAAACCUCGGGCUUAACUCGAGGCCUGCAGUUGAAACUGUCUGGCUAGAGUGUGGGAGAGGAGAGUGGAAUUCCUGGUGUAGCGGUGAAAUGCGUAGAUAUCAGGAGGAACACCGGUGGCGAAGGCGGCUCUCUGGACCACAACUGACGCUGAGGCGCGAAAGCUAGGGGAGCAAACAGG
rnacentral:misc_RNA from 1 species